CCAUAUUUUUGGCUAUUGUGGUUUUAUAGAUAGGGGUUUGUUUACAGUUUUCCUAUUUUAUGUUUGGUUUUGGUCUAAUAAAGUACAGGAAUGUGUUAGAUGUUAUUGGCUUUUUGUAUUUUUAAUGAUUUACAAGUAGUCAGUAUUUCAGAAAGAAAUUUUACACCAGUAAUAGGAGUAUUCACCUGUUUCAAACCUUGAUAAUGUAAGAAUCAUUCACCUAAUAAUAAAAAAGUUAAUACAUAUAAAUCUUCCAAGCUUUAUGAAUAUUUUAAUAUAUAAAGUAUUAAAAUGAAUCACUAUAUUUUCCCAAAUUAUAAGACAUUCAUAAUAUUUAUCUAAUUUGUUUCGGAGGCUUCAUUUAGUGUUAACCACAUGUAUCAUGGUCUUUGCCAACCCCUUAGGAUCAAAUGGCAUAGGCCAUGCCAUCCAAGGACCAUUUGUAACAGUAGGAGAGAAAUUUGGUGGGUAAAGAACCCUCUAGAAAUGUUAGGGAAGCAGUGUGUACAACCCCUUUUAAGACAAUGGAAUAAUAAUAAUAAUAUUCGGUUCUUGUGUAGCAUAUAUUGAACGUCUCUAUGCGCUUCCAAAUUUGGAAAUUAUUACCCCGGCUUUAGCAUGGCUUCCAUUACGGCGCUUAAGCUUUUCAAGGAAUUAAUUCCUGCCAGGUAUUCAAUUAACCUCACCUGGGUCAAGUGUGGCAAAUGUAGAUUAAUGUCUUGCCAAAGGACAUUAGUGCCGCAGCAGGACUCGAACUGCGGACCUUGUCCACGACAAUAGACCAUGAAGAUCAUGAAGAUAAUGACAAGGUUACAGCAACAUGUGCUAGCAACAUCUGAUACUAGAUAGCAUCCCUUCCAGACAGGCAUGAACACUGCAGACAGUUCUCUCAUUUCCUUACUGUUAUCCACAAGAAUAUAGAGGAUCAAUGUGAGCGAUUAUGUGGCCAUAUAUUUUGAUGCACCUUCAUCUAGCAGUAGGACUACAAAUGGGGUGGUUUUCAUGGCUCUUGUAAAAGCUGUGAUUGAUGACAAUGUCAAAGUUAAAUUCAUACGCCGGAACAGCAAUGGUCUGUAUGAAUUUACAGAGGACUGUGAAGCCCAUCAGCCUAAAAAGAUGUAAUACAGAAGAUGACUCUACCAACCAGGACCCCAGCCGACAUAGCUUACCUUUAUAAUUUUUAAGAACGAGAACUGGACAUGUUGGCAGAUAAAUUUCUUUGAAAUAAGAAGUCGAACACAAUUGUGUUCUAGGACAAAAACCUGUAAAUACUUACCAUGCUAUUGGUUUCAAAUAUAUGAAUGUCUGUGUAAAUGUUAUAACACAUACCAAACAAGUUUGUGGAUGCCACUGUGCAGAAAUGUAAUACUUUGCACUAAGAAUAAAUGAUGACAAAGACGCAAGUGAAGGGUAAUGAUACAUUGCUAUGAAUUAACAUAAAUGGUUUCUAUGUGAACAAUUAUUUUAAGUACUUUACUUUCAGUUCAACAUUUUAUCAAAACUUCAAAAGUAA